rnacentral:rRNA from 1 species
CGGGGUGCACCAGGCGCGAAAACUUUACAAUGCGGGAAACCGUGAUAAGGGGACACCGAGUGUCAGCAUCAUAUGCUGGCUGUCCAGGUGUGUAAAAUACACCUGUUAGCAAGGGCCGGGCAAGACCGGCGCCAGCCGCCGCGGUAACACCGGCGGCCCGAGUGGUGAUCGUGAUUAUUGGGUCUAAAGGGUCCGUAGCCGGUUUGGUCAGUCCUCCGGGAAAUCUGAUAGCUUAACUAUUAGGCUUUCGGAGGAUACUGCCAGACUUGGAACCGGGAGAGGUAAGAGGUACUACAGGGGUAGGAGUGAAAUCUUGUAAUCCCUGUGGGACCACCUGUGGCGAAGGCGUCUUACCAGAACGGGUUCGACGGUGAGGGACGAAAGCUGGGGGCACGAACCGGAUUAGAUACCCGGGUAGUCCCAGCCGUAAACGAUGCUCGCUAGGUGUCAGGCAUGGCGCGACCGUGUCUGGUGCCGCAGGGAAGCCGUGAAGCGAGCCACCUGGGAAGUACGGCCGCAAGGCUGAAACUUAAAGGAAUUGGCGGGGGAGCACAAGGGCGAUUCGCG